GGGUUGUGAGGUUAAGCGACUAAGCGUACACGGUGGAUGCCCUGGCAGUCAGAGGCGAUGAAGGACGUGCUAAUCUGCGAUAAGCGUCGGUAAGGUGAUAUGAACCGUUAUAACCGGCGAUUUCCGAAUGGGGAAACCCAGUGUGUUUCGACACACUAUCAUUAACUGAAUCCAUAGGUUAAUGAGGCGAACCGGGGGAACUGAAACAUCUAAGUACCCCGAGGAAAAGAAAUCAACCGAGAUUCCCCCAGUAGCGGCGAGCGAACGGGGAGCAGCCCAGAGCCUGAAUCAGUGUGUGUGUUAGUGGAAGCGUCUGGAAAGGCGCGCGAUACAGGGUGACAGCCCCGUACACAAAAAUGCACAUGCUGUGAGCUCGAUGAGUAGGGCGGGACACGUGGUAUCCUGUCUGAAUAUGGGGGGACCAUCCUCCAAGGCUAAAUACUCCUGACUGACCGAUAGUGAACCAGUACCGUGAGGGAAAGGCGAAAAGAACCCCGGCGAGGGGAGUGAAAAAGAACCUGAAACCGUGUACGUACAAGCAGUGGGAGCCUCUUUAUGGGGUGACUGCGUACCUUUUGUAUAAUGGGUCAGCGACUUAUAUUCUGUAGCAAGGUUAACCGAAUAGGGGAGCCGAAGGGAAACCGAGUCUUAACUGGGCGUUAAGUUGCAGGGUAUAGACCCGAAACCCGGUGAUCUAGCCAUGGGCAGGUUGAAGGUUGGGUAACACUAACUGGAGGACCGAACCGACUAAUGUUGAAAAAUUAGCGGAUGACUUGUGGCUGGGGGUGAAAGGCCAAUCAAACCGGGAGAUAGCUGGUUCUCCCCGAAAGCUAUUUAGGUAGCGCCUCGUGAAUUCAUCUCCGGGGGUAGAGCACUGUUUCGGCAAGGGGGUCAUCCCGACUUACCAACCCGAUGCAAACUGCGAAUACCGGAGAAUGUUAUCACGGGAGACACACGGCGGGUGCUAACGUCCGUCGUGAAGAGGGAAACAACCCAGACCGCCAGCUAAGGUCCCAAAGUCAUGGUUAAGUGGGAAACGAUGUGGGAAGGCCCAGACAGCCAGGAUGUUGGCUUAGAAGCAGCCAUCAUUUAAAGAAAGCGUAAUAGCUCACUGGUCGAGUCGGCCUGCGCGGAAGAUGUAACGGGGCUAAACCAUGCACCGAAGCUGCGGCAGCGACGCUUAUGCGUUGUUGGGUAGGGGAGCGUUCUGUAAGCCUGUGAAGGUGUGCUGUGAGGCAUACUGGAGGUAUCAGAAGUGCGAAUGCUGACAUAAGUAACGAUAAAGCGGGUGAAAAGCCCGCUCGCCGGAAGACCAAGGGUUCCUGUCCAACGUUAAUCGGGGCAGGGUGAGUCGACCCCUAAGGCGAGGCCGAAAGGCGUAGUCGAUGGGAAACAGGUUAAUAUUCCUGUACUUGGUGUUACUGCGAAGGGGGGACGGAGAAGGCUAUGUUGGCCGGGCGACGGUUGUCCCGGUUUAAGCGCGUAGGCUGAUUUUCCAGGCAAAUCCGGAAAAUCAAGGCUGAGGCGUGAUGACGAGGCACUACGGUGCUGAAGCAACAAAUGCCCUGCUUCCAGGAAAAGCCUCUAAGCAUCAGGUAACAUCAAAUCGUACCCCAAACCGACACAGGUGGUCAGGUAGAGAAUACCAAGGCGCUUGAGAGAACUCGGGUGAAGGAACUAGGCAAAAUGGUGCCGUAACUUCGGGAGAAGGCACGCUGAUAUGUAGGUGAAGUCCCUCGCGGAUGGAGCUGAAAUCAGUCGAAGAUACCAGCUGGCUGCAACUGUUUAUUAAAAACACAGCACUGUGCAAACACGAAAGUGGACGUAUACGGUGUGACGCCUGCCCGGUGCCGGAAGGUUAAUUGAUGGGGUCAGCGCAAGCGAAGCUCUUGAUCGAAGCCCCGGUAAACGGCGGCCGUAACUAUAACGGUCCUAAGGUAGCGAAAUUCCUUGUCGGGUAAGUUCCGACCUGCACGAAUGGCGUAAUGAUGGCCAGGCUGUCUCCACCCGAGACUCAGUGAAAUUGAACUCGCUGUGAAGAUGCAGUGUACCCGCGGCAAGACGGAAAGACCCCGUGAACCUUUACUAUAGCUUGACACUGAACAUUGAGCCUUGAUGUGUAGGAUAGGUGGGAGGCUUUGAAGUGUGGACGCCAGUCUGCAUGGAGCCGGCCUUGAAAUACCACCCUUUAAUGUUUGAUGUUCUAACGUGGACCCGUAAUCCGGGUUGCGGACAGUGUCUGGUGGGUAGUUUGACUGGGGCGGUCUCCUCCUAAAGAGUAACGGAGGAGCACGAAGGUUGGCUAAUCCUGGUCGGACAUCAGGAGGUUAGUGCAAUGGCAUAAGCCAGCUUGACUGCGAGCGUGACGGCGCGAGCAGGUGCGAAAGCAGGUCAUAGUGAUCCGGUGGUUCUGAAUGGAAGGGCCAUCGCUCAACGGAUAAAAGGUACUCCGGGGAUAACAGGCUGAUACCGCCCAAGAGUUCAUAUCGACGGCGGUGUUUGGCACCUCGAUGUCGGCUCAUCACAUCCUGGGGCUGAAGUAGGUCCCAAGGGUAUGGCUGUUCGCCAUUUAAAGUGGUACGCGAGCUGGGUUUAGAACGUCGUGAGACAGUUCGGUCCCUAUCUGCCGUGGGCGCUGGAGAACUGAGGGGGGCUGCUCCUAGUACGAGAGGACCGGAGUGGACGCAUCACUGGUGUUCGGGUUGUCAUGCCAAUGGCACUGCCCGGUAGCUAAAUGCGGAAGAGAUAAGUGCUGAAAGCAUCUAAGCACGAAACUUGCCCCGAGAUGAGUUCUCCCUGACCCUUUAAGGGUCCUGAAGGAACGUUGAAGACGACGACGUUGAUAGGCCGGGUGUGUAAGCGCAGCGAUGCGUUGAGCUAACCGGUACUAAUGAACCGUGAGGCUUAACCUUACAACGCCGAAG
rnacentral:rRNA from 1 species